rnacentral:rRNA from 1 species
CCUACGGGCGGCUGCAGUGGGGAAUAUUGGACAAUGGGGGGAACCCUGAUCCAGCCAUGCCGCGUGUGUGAAGAAGGCCCUCGGGUUGUAAAGCACUUUCAGUGAGGAAGAACGCCUGGUGGUUAAUACCCAUCAGGAAAGACAUCACUCACAGAAGAAGCACCGGCUAACUCCGUGCCAGCAGCCGCGGUAAUACGGAGGGUGCGAGCGUUAAUCGGAAUUACUGGGCGUAAAGCGCGCGUAGGUGGCUUGAUAAGCCGGUUGUGAAAGCCCCGGGCUCAACCUGGGAACGGCAUCCGGAACUGUCAAGCUAGAGUGCAGGAGAGGAAGGUAGAAUCCCCGGUGUAGCGGUGAAAUGCGUAGAGAUCGGGAGGAAUACCAGUGGCGAAGGCGGCUUUCUGGACUGAAACUGACACUGAGGUGCGAAAGCGUGGGUAGAAAACAGGAUUAGAUACCCCUGUAGUC